rnacentral:lncRNA from 1 species
CAGGUCAGACAUGCACGAGGGGCCGCCUUUUCCUCUAGUUUCAGCAGCCCCUCCCCAGUCUGGGAGAUCCAAUCAUCUCCUGUCCCUCUUCUCUUGGACUCCCGGGCUCUUUUGAACAUGCACCAGGGGGCAGAAGGAAGGGACUUCCGUGCCAGAACACCCAGUGCUGGCAGACAUCGAGGGCUGAUGUUUUCCUAAGCUCAGGGCAUUGCCGCUUUCUGCUGUGUCCUUCCAGCUGUGCAGUGCAGCUCAAGGCUUCUGUUCUUCUGUUUCUCCACGUCUUCUGGGUUCAUCUAAAACCCACCAGCAAAGCUCAGCGCUCAGGCUGCCCCUCCGCCACUGACUGCAUCCCUGACGCUCACCGCCCAGUACUGUCCAUCCUUGUGUUGCUGCCUUUUUGGUUGAAAGAGCAGCAGUUCUCCAGCACUGAGAGCGUCCAGUAAGUAUUUCCGAAUUAUUCUUUCAUUCAUUUGCCACCUGCUUUCAAAGAACAUUCAUGCGGUGCCGUAUGUGCCAGGCAUUAUUCUGGGUGCUGGAGAGACAAAGAUGGCCACUCGGCUACUUCUCAUGCCAGGAAAUCUUUCAUGUGGAGUUCCCAUCGUGGUGCAGUGGAAAUGAACCCAACUGCGAACCAUGAGGUUGCGGGUUCAGAUGGGGGGAGGGAGGGUGAGAUACCUGAGCAGGGCAGUUCUGCAAGUGAUGCGAAUGAUGCCAGGAAAGGAGAGUAGGUUUUAUUACAAGCCUGGUCAGGGACAGGGUGACAGGGCUGUGAGGGAGUCAGACCUACCUGCACCAGCUUUCCGGUAAUGCUGGGACUCCGACUCUGCCUAUACGCCCCAUUGCCGAUCCCACCCUCAGGCCUUGCCUCUAGGCAUCCCGUCUCCUUUUGCCUGAAACAAUCUUCCCUGUAGAUCCCUCAGAUACACUGCUCGCCAUCCCUGAUGAGGGGAAUUACCCCGCAUCUGCAGUCUUCCUGACUCCCGCUGGCUUGUUCUUUGUUCCUUAGCAACUUUAUCACCUUUUAACCAUCUUAGUAGUUUGCCUGCCUGUUUACUCUUUUUUAAAAAUUGCUAUUGCAGUGCAGUUGAUCUAUAGCACUGUGUUGGUUUCAGGUGUACCGCAGAGUAAAUCAGUUAUUUACUUUUUAUGCCCAUCUUUCUCCUCUUACAUACGCUGGUUGAGACCAGGUGAUUGUGUGUUUUGUUCACAGAUACAUCCCACUUGCCCACAUUCAUGCCUGGCACGAGAAACUAUUUCUUGAAUGACCAGUUAAAUCCCUAUCUUCAUUCCUUGAAAUAACAUGGAAAGAAUCCUUUUUAGAAUUUUUUCUUUCUUUCUUUCUUUCUUUUUUCUUUUUUUUCUUUUUUUCUUUUUUUGGCUUUUUAAGGCUGCAGUCACAGCCUAUGGCGCCUCCCAGGCUAAGGGUUGAAUCAGAGCCACAGCCAUAGAAACACCG